ensembl:lncRNA
GUCCUGAAGAUGCUGCAGCAGAGGAGAUGCUCUGUAGCUGCUGAUGAUGAAUGGUAUCCCUCGGUCCAACCCACUUUCAGCCUGGCGCAUUAGGGGGCGCUAGUAUAAAUAGUGGCCAUUUGAGUGUCCCUGGAUCGCUUGCCUGUGACCUCCUUUUUGGUCACCUGACUUCCUGUUGGUGUUGCUGAGAUUAGUUGCGGGUUACUUUUCUGAAGCCUCCAUCGCAGCUGAUGCGGAGUGCUGACGUGGAGGAGACUAGGGUGCCUUGGUGGUGGGAUCCUCUGAGUGUACACACCUGCCUUGUUUAAUUUAUUAGUGAUAAAAGCAAAGCAGCAGCUACUUUGGUGUGGGAUUCCACAGCUGUGUUACAGAGAUGGAGGAAGAGUUACAGGAACUCAGGGACUUGAUCGUGCAGCUGAAAGCAGACAAUGAGAGGCUGCGUCAGGAGAGGGCUGUUGGGUCAGAUGCGGAGUGCUGACGUGGAGGAGACUAGGGUGCCUUGGUGGUGGGAUCCUCUGAGUGUACACACCUGCCUUGUUUAAUUUAUUAGUGUGAGUGUGCUGCACUUGUGUCUUGGUGUAUUUUCUUUUUUUGAGUUUGUGUGUGGCAUCCCUGCCCUCCACUGGUAAGCCUCAGCUCUGAAUACCUUUUUUUGCAUACUUUUACAUUGAUAUUUAUCACUGUGCUUUUAAAUGUUGUUUUAAUUAAUAAAUUGUCAAUUUAUUUUAUCAUUGAACCUCGUCUCUGUAUUGAGUAUAACAAACCUAACUGCCUUCGUAGUGAUUAGUGUUACCUCCAGUAUUCUCUGGGUGAAAUUCCCAGGGUGGCGUUGUCUUUUUAAAACUGUGAAGAGUAAU